ensembl:snRNA U6 U6 spliceosomal RNA
GUGCUUACUCUGGCAGCACAUAGGCUAAAAUUGGAAUGAUACAGAGAUUAGUACAGCCCCUGGGCAAGGAUGACACACAAAUUUGUGAAACAUUCCAUAUGUUU